CACGUAGUUAGCCGGGGCUUCUUAGUCAGGUACCGUCAUUUUCUUUCCUGCUGAUAGAGCUUUACGUACCGAAAUACUUCUUCACUCACGCGGCGUCGCUGGAUCAGGGUUUCCCCCACUGUCCAAUAUUCCCCACUGCUGCCUCCCGUAGGAGUUUGGGCCGUGUCUCAGUCCCAAUGUGGCCGUCCACCCUCUCAGGCCGGCUACUGAUCGUUGCCUUGGUGGGCCGUUACCCCGCCAACCAGCUAAUCAGACGCGGGCCCAUCCCAUACCACCGGAGUUUUUCACACACCUUCAUGCGAAGCUGUGCGCUUAUGCGGUUUUAGCACCUGUUUCCAGGUGUUAUCCCCCGGUAUGGGGCAGGUUGCCCACGCGUUACUCACCCGUCCGCCACUAACUUACACUUCCGUUAGUCAAUGCAAGCAUCUCCUGCUUCUGUGUAAGUCCGUUCGACUUGCAUGUGUUAGGCACGCCGCCAGCGUUCAUCCUGACGCAGGAUCAAACUCU
rnacentral:rRNA from 1 species